UACGAAGGUCCCGAGCGUUAUUCGGAAUCACUGGGCGUAAAGGGAGCGUAGGCUGCGCGGUAAGUCAGAUGUGAAAUCUCAAGGCUCAACCUUGAAACUGCAUCCGAUACUGCCGUGCUAGAGUAAUGGAGGGGUAAGUGGAAUUCUCGGUGUAGCAGUGAAAUGCGUAGAUAUCGAGAGGAAGACCAACGGCGAAGGCA
rnacentral:rRNA from 1 species